UUUGCUUCUAGGAGCAGAAAUCUAUCUUGCCAUACCCUUUGGUUUUUAAAGAUUUCUCUUCUAUUUGCAUUUCUGCACUUUGGUGGUUCUCCCAUGAAGAUAAUUAUGGUGUCAUAAAAUUCACAUUCCACUGGUUCCUUUGAAUCUUACCAACCACUCUUGUUAACAGAGACAAUGAACCUGAACUGUUUUAGGACUCUUGUUAUUACUGAGACAGGUCACAAACAUCAAAAUAGGAGUCCGUGGCUUGUAGUGAUGCUUUUUAGUCUUGUGAUAGCACAAUCCAUCACUUUCCCCAAAAUUCUUGUCAUAGAACAUAAUGAAAAAUAUGUAAAAUACCCAUUUAUGUGGCAUUUCAUUCACUUAAGUUGCAGUUAACUCUAAG
rnacentral:lncRNA from 1 species